GGAGGAAGACAUGUUAAUCAACAACCGCAGCUGGAUAGAAGACAGAACUGAGAAGACAGCGGAGGACUGGAUGGGAAACUGGUGGUCUCAGCUAAGAACAAACACUGACUCCACAACAGAGGAACAGUUGGAAUAGAGGCACCAGUCAACAUCCAUGUUUUGAAAAGGUGGCAGAAUUUGCUGAACUCUUGUUGAAGAAGGAGGCCUUGAUGCUGGAGUGGUGGGAUAGCUAAUCUUGCCUGCCGUCUUGACACACCUAGGAAGGCAGAACUCAACCUAAGAAUUGUCCCCACCAGAUCUGCCUGUGAACAUGUGUGUGGAACAUUUUUUUAAAAUCAUUAAUUGAUGUAAGAGGGCCCAUCCGGUUGUGUAGGUGCUAUCCCUGGGCAGGUAGGGCUAGGCAGUAUAACGCUUACACAUUCUGUGUGAUGGCAGUUCCUUCAUUCAAUAAGCUCUGCAGCAGAAUUGGUAUUAUUUCCAGUGCACAGCCUGCACCCUGGUUCUCCAGGUUUCCCAAGGACUCUCUCAGUUACCCAGCCAUGUCUUAAGCAAAUGAAACUGAAGGAUGUCCUCUCAGAAAAGUAAACUAAUUAUGAAUAUACAGCCCAGAAAAGUGUCAUAAACUGAAUCACUACCCAUACCAGUAAGUUGAUCAGAAGCCCUAGAUGAGCCCCAUUGGCCUUUCCGACAACCACCCCCUCACUAAAUAAAGUCACUAGCCUAACUCCUAGCAUCAUAGCCUCGAAUUUCUCAGCAACGAGCCCAUGCCACGUAUACUGGUUUGUGUACAGCUUCUUCCAUGUCACUUGUCUCAGAACUUCAGCAAUGCUUCCCACGGCAGCGCAGUGAUCAGACUCCUCAAAGUACAGGAUUUCAUUGCACGCUUUCUCUUUCUCGGCCUGACCCUUACCUGCAAAGGAUUCAAUGGUAGACUCAGGUCCUAGAAGAUGGAGGGACGAACAAUUCUUGGCACGGCACAAAACGAUGUUCAAAAUCCCUGCAGCAGAUGACGGGACUCUAAGUCUCCAAACACCUGCAGUCGCUGUCUCUCCUUAAUGAAAUCCUUGCAGCAUGACACCGAAUGAGAACCGCCUCUCCCUCACCUGGACCUACAGAGCUUGCCAGUGGAAACCAGUUACCAUGAGCAAUCCUCGUCCCAAGUCCUGGGAAUCCUGCAGUCAGUCUCUCUCUCUCUCACUGUUCUCCCAUCCCCCCACCCAAUCCCAGCACCAUAGGUCAGAGCAAGCCUUAUCAGAAACUGCUCCAUAGCUACCAACACAAAAUUCGGCCAGUUUGUCUUUCCCUUCUCUCCUAACUCCCACCUUCUCAGC